GGAAAAUAAAUAAUUAAACCCCUUCAAACCUAUCAAAUGUUUAACAGCUGAAGGAUAGUCAUCUUUAGGAACAUAGCCAACAUAUCAAUAAAAAUGUAAUUAUUUCUGAAACAUGUGAGAGUACUUACAAUAUCCAAAAACAUGAUACUGUAUAUUGAUAUUUUGGUGGAAAGUGAACAAUAUAGUUUCAUAUUUGCUGGUCAGGACCUUGUCCCCAAAAGGCAAAACAUGCCACUGAAAUGUUAAUAAGUCCUGACAGCUUAUUAGACAUGAAAGAUCAAUUGAUAUUUACCUGCAUCAAAUCAGUGGGGGGAUUUUAAAAUAAAGUGACAGUAUUAAGCUUGUUUGGAAGGACCCAUGUGGGUGGAAGGGAUAAGGUGUUCUCAAAGAUCAAAGGGAUGGAAAGUAGUUUAAGAUGUGCAUAGCCUUUGUGUGCAUGUUUGUUUGUUUGUGUGUCUGUCUGUCUUUUGUCUGGAAGUUUAAUAGCUAAUAGCUAAACAAACAGGGAAUUGUGAGGAAAUUAAAAAAAUAUAUUUUCACAAUUAAGACCUUACUAGUUGAUAUAAAAACAUUCUAGAGCCAAAUAUUCUGAUGAUCAGCUAAAUAAGCCGA